GAUGAACGCUGGCGGCGUGCCUAAUACAUGCAAGUCGAGCGAAUGGAUUAAGAGCUUGCUCUUAUGAAGUUAGCGGCGGACGGGUGAGUAACACGUGGGUAACCUGCCCAUAAGACUGGGAUAACUCCGGGAAACCGGGGCUAAUACCGGAUAACAUUUUGAACCGCAUGGUUCGAAAUUGAAAGGCGGCUUCGGCUGUCACUUAUGGAUUGAUCCUCGUCGCAUUAGCUAGUUGGUGAGGUAACGGUUCACCAAGGCAACGAUGCGUAGCCGACCUGAGAGGGUGAUCGGCCACACUGGGACUGAGACACGGACCAGACUCCUACGGGAGGCAGCAGUAGGGAAUCUUCCGCAAUGGACGAAAGUCUGACGGAGCAACGCCGCGUGAGUGAUGAAGGCUUUCGGGUCGUAAAACUCUGUUGUUAGGGAAGAACAAGUGCUAGUUGAAUAAGCUGGCACCUUGACGGUACCUAACCAGAAAGCCACGGCUAACUACGUGCCAGCCGCCGCUGUAA
rnacentral:rRNA from 1 species